AUGCCUCCACAAACAAACACACACAAACAAACACACACACACACACACACACAUACAUACAUAUAUAUAUAUAUAUAUAUAUAGCAAAAGAGUUAGAAAAUAGGUCGGUCAGUAUAAGGUGGGUAAAAAAUGCCUAAUUGAUCUUCUUCGCCAUACCAUUUUGAUAUGGUUUAUGCGCCGCUGGUAACUUGGUCGAACCAUUUGUGCUCCUCUUGCCCUGAUUGGAAACGCGAACGACGUCCGGAAAACUAUAAAUGCGGGGCCAUUGUAAUUGAUAUUCUUCCUGGCGUCCAUUUAGACAGUGACGUAGCCAUAUUCCCCAGACAAUGUACAUGUAGGCGCCAAUUCCAGUCAUAAGAUGCCACCAGCCGUGUCCUUCCAAUAGGAUGCCCCAGGGCAGUCCGAUCUUUCUUCGCCAUCCGCGCAAGCGGGAGCAGAACACAUUGUCCAGAUUCCAGAUCGCGAAGCCGCCCAAGAAGGUGGCGAGGCCGUAAGCCACCAUAACCCACAUAGUAUGUAAGAUCUUCAGGUCACGCAUGUCUUCGUAGGAGUGAAGCUGUUGGUUUCGUUCCAGGCCUUUGUUGCGCCACGAUGGCCGCAGCGCAGCCUCCAUGACCCACAUGCUGCGAAGGAGAACAAUAGCCGUGAGAAGAGCAUAGGCGUUUUGGUGAAAGAUUGGGUUUUGGAUAUAGUGGUAGUAUAAAGUUAUGACAAUAGCAAGGGCCAGGAGGAAUAGGGCUAGGAGUAUUCGAGUUUUCGUAGGUUUGGAGUAGGAAAAUGUGGCAUAGAAGACUAAACAGGUUGUGUAGAUCAUAGAAAGCUCGUCGACGAGUUGCAUGGGGUAUUUCAGGGUAGCGUGGAAGAGGAAGCUGCCCAAUCCGACUGUGAGGUAACCAAGGAAGGCGAUCUGGAAAAUUGAGUCGUGGCCAUUCCUUCUACAACUCAGAAGGCCUUUGACGCCUAACCAGAGGAAUAAACAAUUCGUGAGCGCAUUCACAAACUCAGCGAGAUAGAAGCUCGCAUAGUAAUCCUCUUCGCACCAGUUCAGUGUUGAAGUUAUAGGGGCCCAGUACCCAGCCCGGGAAGGCGGAUAUGGAAAAAUUGGAUGCUGCCGCAUAAAUGACUAUAAAAACAACCUAUAAAUAAGGCGAUUGAUGUAGUCGAGUAUGCGCAGGGUUCCGGAGGUGGUGAGUGAGACCAGUACCCCAGAUCAUUCCACAGCG
rnacentral:sRNA from 1 species